rnacentral:rRNA from 1 species
GUGUCAGCAGCCGCGGUAAUACAGAGGUCCCGAGCGUUGUUCGGAUUCACUGGGCGUAAAGGGUGCGUAGGUGGUGGCGUAAGUCGGAUGUGAAAUCUCGGAGCUCAACUCCGAAAAGGCAUUGGAAACUGCGUUACUUGAGGGUUGGAGGGGGGACUGGAAUUCUCGGUGUAGCAGUGAAAUGCGUAGAUAUCGAGAGGAACACCAGUGGCGAAGGCGAGUCCCUGGACAACACCUGACACUGAGGCACGAAAGCUAGGGGAGCAAACAGGAUUAGAUACCCUGGUAGUCCUAGCCGUAAACGGUGCACGUUUGCUGUAAAAGGAAUCGACCCCUUUUGUGGCGUAGCUAACGCGUUAAACGUGCCGCCUGGGAAGUACGGUCGCAAGAUUAAA